AUUGAACGCUGGCGGCAGGCCUAACACAUGCAAGUCGAACGAGUGGCGGACGGGUGCGUAUUGUCUGGUAAACUGCCUGAUGGUGGGGGAUAACUCCUGGAAACGGUAGCUAUUACCGCAUACCAUCAGAUGUGCCCAGAUGGGAUUGGCUAGUUGGUGGGGUAAAGGCUCACCAAGGCGACGAUCCCUAGCUGGUCUGAGAGGAUGACAAGCCACACUGGUACUGAGAUACGGUCCAGACUCCGACGGGAGGCAGCAGUGGGGAGUAUGGCACAGUGGGCGAAAGCCUGGUGCAGCCAUGCCGCGUGUAUGAAGAAGGCCUUCGGGUUGUAAAGUACUUUCAGCGGGGAGGCGUUACCCGCAGAAGAAGCACCGGCUAACUCCGUGCCAGCAGCCGCGGUAAUAC
rnacentral:rRNA from 1 species